rnacentral:rRNA from 1 species
ACGCUGGCGGCGUGCCUAAUACAUGCAAGUAGAACGCUGAAGGAGGAGCUUGCUUCUCUGGAUGAGUUGCGAACGGGUGAGUAACGCGUAGGUAACCUGCCUGGUAGCGGGGGAUAACUAUUGGAAACGAUAGCUAAUACCGCAUAACAGUAGAUGUUGCAUGACAUUUGCUUAAAAGGUGCAAUUGCAUCACUACCAGAUGGACCUGCGUUGUAUUAGCUAGUUGGUGGGGUAACGGCUCACCAAGGCGACGAUACAUAGCCGACCUGAGAGGGUGAUCGGCCACACUGGGACUGAGACACGGCCCAGACUCCUACGGGAGGCAGCAGUAGGGAAUCUUCGGCAAUGGACGGAAGUCUGACCGAGCAACGCCGCGUGAGUGAAGAAGGUUUUCGGAUCGUAAGGCUCUGUUGUAAGAGAAGAACGGGUGUGAGAGUGGAAAGUUCACACUGUGACGGUAUCUUACCAGAAAGGGACGGCUAACUACGUGCCAGCAGCCGCGGUAAUACGUAGGUCCCGAGCGUUGUCCGGAUUUAUUGGGCGUAAAGCGAGCGCAGGCGGUUAGAUAAGUCUGAAGUUAAAGGCUGUGGCUUAACCAUAGUACGCUUUGGAAACUGUUUAACUUGAGUGCAAGAGGGGAGAGUGGAAUUCCAUGUGUAGCGGUGAAAUGCGUAGAUAUAUGGAGGAACACCGGUGGCGAAAGCGGCUCUCUGGCUUGUAACUGACGCUGAGGCUCGAAAGCGUGGGGGGCAAACAGGAUUAGAUACCCUGGUAGUCCACGCCGUAAACGAUGAGUGCUAGGUGUUAGACCCUUUCCGGGGUUUAGUGCCGCAGCUAACGCAUUAAGCACUCCGCCUGGGGAGUACGACCGCAAGGUUGAAACUCAAAGGAAUUGACGGGGGCCCGCACA